rnacentral:rRNA from 1 species
AGCAGCCGCGGUAAUUCCAGCUCCAAUAGCGUAUAUUAAAGUUGUUGCAGUUAAAAAGCUCGUAGUUGAAUUUCGGGGUCAGUAGGUUGGUCAUGCCACUGGUAUGUACUGGUCUCACUGAUUCCUCCUUCCUGAUGAGCCGUAAUGCCAUUAAUUUGGUGUUGCGAGGAAUCUGGACUGUUACUUUGAAAAAAUUAGAGUGUUUAAAGCAAGCUAACGCUUGAAUACAUUAGCAUGGAAUAAUGAAAUAGGACGUUCGAUCCUAUUUUGUUGGUUUCUAGGAUUGACGUAAUGAUUAAUAGGGAUAGUUGGGGGCAUUAGUAUUCAAUUGUCAGAGGUGAAAUUCUUGGAUUUAUUGAAGACUAAACUACUGCGAAAGCAUUUGCCAAGGAUGUUUUCAUUAAUCAAGAACGAAAGUUAGGGGAUCGAAGACGAUCAGAUACCGUAGUAGUCUUAACCAUAAAACUAUGCCGACUAGGGAUCGGAUGAUGUAAUUUUUAAUGACUCAUUC